GGAGAGGUGCGAGAGCGGCCGAAUCGGGCUCCCUGCUAAGGAGUUGUGCGGGUAACUGUACCGGGGGUUCGAAUCCCCCCCUCUCCG
rnacentral:tRNA from 1 species